rnacentral:rRNA from 1 species
AUUGAACGCUGGCGGCAGGCCUAACACAUGCAAGUCGAGCGGACGAACGGAGCUUGCUCGCGGUUUCAGCGGGGGACGGGCGAGUAAUUCCUAGGAAUCUCCCUGGCUGCUGGGGCUAACGUCCGGACACGGGCGCUAAUACCGCAUACGCCCAGAGGGUGAACGUGGGGGAUCUUUGGACCUCACGCUCUUUGAUGAGCCUAGGUCGCAUUAGCUAGUUGGUGGGGUAAAGGCCUACCAAGGCGACGAUCCGUAGCUGGUCUGAGAGGAUGAUCAGUCACACUGGAACUGAGACACGGUCCAGACUCCUACGGGAGGCAGCAGUGGGGAAUAUUCGGCAAUGGGCGAAAGCCUGAUGCAGCAAUGCCGCGUGUGUGAAGAAGGUCUUCGGAUUGUAAAGCACUUUUAGUUGGGAAGAACAGCAGUAAGUUAAUACCUGGCUGUUUUGACGGUACCAAAAGAAUAAGCACCGGCUAACUUCGUG